rnacentral:ribozyme from 1 species
UGCUCAGCAACUCCUAUCCCUACCUUCUCGUGAUACUGGCCGGGGUACGAGUAACCUUAGGAAAGAUCGGGUAACCAACUUCGAGCUUUGGUCGUAUGCUGACAGGGAAGG